GACAGAGGGUGCAAGCGUUAAUCGGAAUUACUGGGCGUAAAGCGCUCGUAGGUGGUUAUUUAAGUCAGAUGUGAAAGCCCCGGGCUCAACCUGGGAACGGCAUUUGAGACUGAGUAACUAGAGGUAGGUAGAGGAAAGUAGAAUUUCAGGUGUAGCGGUGAAAUGCGUAGAUAUCUGAAGGAAUACCAGUGGCGAAGGCGGCUUUCUGGACCUUACCUGACACUGAGGAGCGAAAGCGUGGGUAGCAAACAGG
rnacentral:rRNA from 1 species